CCAAGCAUCAGUACUUUUGAAAGAUCCCCCGGGGAAGUCCAAUCUUCAGUAAAGUCUGGGAACCACUCAAUGCCCUGCAAGGAGAUGGAUUCACGACCCUGGCACAGGACGCCGUUGCAAUAGUUAAAACUCCCCUCCAGUGAAGCUGUGCCCUUUGCAGCGGAAGCACACAAGCCCACCGAAGCUGCUGUUUAACUCGGCCGAUGACCUCGUCUACCUUCAAGGGCUCCACCUGUGUUCCAGCUCUUGCUGUGGAUUAUCGUCACGAGACCUCUGGCUGGUGGUCUGCCACCACCUCCUGACUCGACACACUGUCCCUUCUUCUCUGAGGCUCUUCCUCCUCUCUACAACAACCUCCAUUGUCCAAAUUCACUUAUUUUCUG
rnacentral:lncRNA from 1 species